rnacentral:rRNA from 1 species
UACGUAGGUGGCAAGCGUUGUCCGGAAUUACUGGGUGUAAAGCGCGUGUAGGCGGCAGACCAAGUCGGCGGUGAAAGCGCCCGGCUCAACUGGGCGAGGUCCGUGGAAACUGGUCAGCUAGAGGACGGUAGAGGCGAGUGGAAUUCCCAGUGUAGUGGUGAAAUACGUAGAGAUUGGGAAGAACACCAGUGGCGAAGGCGGCUAUCUGGACGGUUUCUGACGCUAAGACGCGAAAGCGUGGGGAGCAAACAGG